rnacentral:rRNA from 1 species
GAUGAACGCUGGCGGCGUGCCUAAUACAUGCAAGUCGAGCGAACAGACGAGGAGCUUACUCCUCUGACGUUAGCGGCGGACGGGUGAGUAACACGUGGAUAACCUACCUAUAAGACUGGGAUAACUUCGGGAAACCGGAGCUAAUACCGGAUAACAUGUUGAACCGCAUGGUUCAACAGUGAAAGACGGUCUUGCUGUCACUUAUAGAUGGAUCCGCGUUGCAUUAGCUAGUUGGUAAGGUAACGGCUUACCAAGGCAACGAUGCGUAGCCGACCUGAGAGGGUGAUCGGCCACACUGGAACUGAGACACGGUCCAGACUCCUACGGGAGGCAGCAGUAGGGAAUCUUCCGCAAUGGGCGAAAGCCUGACGGAGCAACGCCGCGUGAGUGAAGAAGGUCUUCGGAUCGUAAAACUCUGUUAUUAGGGAAGAACAAAUGUGUAAGUAACUGUGCACGUCUUGACGGUACCUAAUCAGAAAGCCACGGCUAACUACGUG